GCCGGCGUAGCUCAAUUGGCAGAGCAGCUGAUUCGUAAUCAGCAGGCUACCAGUUCAAUUCUGGUCGUCGGCU
rnacentral:tRNA from 1 species